CCUACGGGUGGCUGCAGUGGGGAAUCUUCCACAAUGGGCGAAAGCCUGAUGGAGCGACACCGCGUGAAGGAUGAAGGGUUUACUCUCGUAAACUUCUUUUCUGUGGGAAGAUAAUGACGGUACCGCAGGAAUAAGGGACGGCUAAUUACGUGCCAGCAGCCGCGGUAAUACGUAAGUCCCAAGCGUUAUCCGGAAUCACUGGGUGUAAAGUGUUCGUAGGCUGAUGUUUAAGUUAAAUAUUAAAGACCAGAGCUCAACUCUGUGUUUGUAUUUAAAACUGGACAUCUAGAAUUAGAGAGAGGCAAGUAGAAUUACUGGAGUAGGGGUGCAAUCCGUAGAUACCAGUAGGAAUACCAAAAGCGAAGGCAGCUUGCUGGCUCUAUAUUGACGCUGAGGAACGAAAGCGUGGGUAGCGAAAAGGAUUAGAUACCCUGGUAGUC
rnacentral:rRNA from 1 species